rnacentral:lncRNA from 1 species
CUCGCUAUACGACACCGACAAUUGUCACCUCACGCCAGUCGUAGAAUAAGCCCAAUUGAUUUGAAUGAUUUCACUUGAGCAGUGUUCCCAGCUUUCCUUUCUUAAUUCUUUUCAAACAGUUUUGCCAGCCAUAUUAACAUUUGUGCUUCGGCCUUACCUUCCACUUUGGAGAACAUUCGGUAUCGUUAUCUUUACAACUUAUUCACGCAGAGAAUUACCAGCUGUUUAAAACAAUAAUUGUUCUUGUUAUUUUUGAUGAACACUUUUAAUUUGUUGCAACUAAACGAAUUGCGUUGAAGCAGCAAUGAUUUUCAUUGAAACGAAACAGAAAUAUUAUUGAGUUUUCUGACAGCAUUUCAAAUCAUAUUUAUUUUUGAAACAACGACAAAAAUACUUCAUUUUAAAUUGAGGAUUUGUUGUUUCAGUGCGUUUGAUUGUUGAUACUGGUAAAAAAAGAUCUGAUCUGCCAUUUUGUUUUACGAUCUUUUGUAAAAGUGAAAAAGACCAACGCGGAGAAAUUACAAUGCAGUAGUGUAAUAAAUCGACUAACUAUUGAAUUUCGAAACAUCGGAAUUCAUGAUAGAAGUGUUUUUUUGUUAACUCCUACAUGAAACACUGAAACUAUAUCAGCCGAAGGAAAUUGAGCUGAUGAGUCCAUCUCGUCGUUUGCGGUGCGGAACAAUUUCAUUUAAUUAUUGGAUACUAGGAAGCGGCGCAGGUACAUACCUAUGACCAUUUUUAGAUUUGUUCAUCAUUGUGAAUUUUAACUGAUGGAAAUUGAAAUAAAUUAAUUGAUUUUCCA